AAUGAACGUUGGCGGCGUGGAUUAGGCAUGCAAGUCGUACGUGUACCCGCAAGGGGAAAGUGGCGAAAGGGAGAGGAAUACGUGGGUUACCAACCUUCUGGUCGGGGAUAGCGGCGGGAAACUGCCAUUAAUACCCGAUAAUGUCUGCGGACCAAAGGUGUGAUUCCGCCGGAAGACGGGCCCGCGUCCUAUUAGCUAGUUGGUAGGGUAAUGGCCUACCAAGGCAAUGAUGGGUAUGGGGCGUGAGAGCGUGCCCCCACUCACUGGGACUGAGACACUGCCCAGACACCUACGGGUGGUUGCAGUCGAGGAUCUUCGGCAAUGGGCGCAAGCCUGACCGAGCGACGCCGCGUGUGGGAUGAAGGCCUUCGGGUUGUAAACCACUGUCGUAGGGGAGGAAGGCCGUGUGCAGAGCACGGUUUGACCGAUCCUAGGAGGAAGUCCAGGCUAACCUCGUGCCAGCAGCCGCCGUAAAAC
rnacentral:rRNA from 1 species